rnacentral:rRNA from 1 species
CUAAUACAUGCAAGUCGAGCGAACAGACGAGGAGCUUGCUCCUCUGACGUUAGCGGCGGACGGGUGAGUAACACGUGGAUAACCUACCUAUAAGACUGGGAUAACUUCGGGAAACCGGAGCUAAUACCGGAGUAAUAUAUUGAACCGCAUGGUUCAAUAGUGAAAGACGGUUUUGCUGUCACUUAUAGAUGGAUCCGCGCCGCAUUAGCUAGUUGGUAAGGUAACGGCUUACCAAGGCAACGAUGCGUAGCCGACCUGAGAGGGUGAUCGGCCACACUGGAACUGAGACACGGUCCAGACUCCUACGGGAGGCAGCAGUAGGGAAUCUUCCGCAAUGGGCGAAAGCCUGACGGAGCAACGCCGCGUGAGUGAUGAAGGUCUUCGGAUCGUAAAACUCUGUUAUUAGGGAAGAACAAAUGUGUAAGUAACUAUGCACGUCUUGACGGUACCUAAUCAGAAAGCCACGGCUAACUACGUGCCAGCAGCCGCGGUAAUACGUAGGUGGCAAGCGUUAUCCGGAAUUAUUGGGCGUAAAGCGCGCGUAGGCGGUUUUUUAAGUCUGAUGUGAAAGCCCACGGCUCAACCGUGGAGGGCCAUUGGAAACUGGAAAACUUGAGUGCAGAAGAGGAAAGUGGAAUUCCAUGUGUAGCGGUGAAAUGCGCAGAGAUAUGGAGGAACACCAGUGGCGAAGGCGACUUUCUGGUCUGUAACUGACGCUGAUGUGCGAA